rnacentral:rRNA from 1 species
CCUACGGGUGGCAGCAGUGAGGAAUAUUGGUCAAUGGACGAGAGUCUGAACCAGCCAAGUAGCGUGAAGGAUGACUGCCCUAUGGGUUGUAAACUUCUUUUAUAUGGGAAUAAAACGUUCCACGUGUGGGAUUUUGUAUGUACCAUAUGAAUAAGGAUCGGCUAACUCCGUGCCAGCAGCCGCGGUAAUACGGAGGAGCCGAGCGUUAUCCGGAUUUAUUGGGUUUAAAGGGAGCGUAGGUGGAUUGUUAAGUCAGUUGUGAAAGUUUGCGGCUCAACCGUAAAAUUGCAGUUGAAACUGGCAGUCUUGAGUACAGUAGAGGUGGGCGGAAUUCGUGGUGUAGCGGUGAAAUGCUUAGAUAUCACGAAGAACUCCGAUUGUGAAGGCAGUUCACUGGACUGCAACUGACACUGAGGCUCGAAAGUGUGGGUAUCAAACAGGAUUAGAUACCCCAGUAGUC